rnacentral:lncRNA from 1 species
AUAAUAGAUUUUGAACAUCAGGUUAGAUGGAUGGAUAACCAGCCACAAUAAGAGUGUCCCUGGAUGUUUGAUAACUAAGGUUUUUCAAUACAAAACAGUCGCCUAGGCAGAGUGGGAGCUGUGUUCUCAGAUUGGAGUCUUCACAUGGCUCCCUGUUUUUUUUGAUCUUGAGAAGAAUUGGUAAGAAAUGUUUUAAUGCUUCUUCUUGUUUCUCUUUUUACAAGCUUUUCACAGAUGUCAACCAGCUCAAUAGAAGAUGAGACCAAUGACAAUAUCACAACACUUACCAGUAUGGGCUUCUGGAUGGCUGUGACAACAGACUUCAGCCUGGGCUGAGAGAUGCCGUUUGCACUGAGAAAGCCAAAGGCUGGAGGUUGGAGCACAGUAGGAUGCUGAACUUGGGCCCCAACUCUGCAGCAGCCCAGCCUUCACCUGGACAAAUGGAGAAAUGGAAGCGUUCUGGGAGGCAUGCAUGUUCCUGUGUAUCCACUAUACUUCUCUCUCGAUGCACAUCUUUCUUCAGGCCAGGCUGGGCGUGGUGACUCACAACUGUAACCCUGCACUUCGAGAGGCUGAGGCGGUCGGAUUACCUGAGCUAGGGAGUUCGAGACUAGCCUGGGCAACACAGCGAAACCCCAUCUCUGCUAAAAUACAAAAAAUUAGCCCGGUGUGGUGGCAUGUGCCUGUAGCCCCAGCUACUUGGGAGGCUGGGGCAGGUGAAUUGCUUGAACCGGGGAGGUGGAGGUUGCAGUGAGCAGAGAUCGAUGCACUGCACUCCAGCCUGGGUGACAGAGUGAGACUGUCCUCCCCAAAAAUAAAAAUAAAUAAAAUGCAUGUCUAGGUGUUCUUGUCUUAUCACAGAAAUACAUGCUUGUAUUGAGUGUAAGUUGGCAUAAAGAAAUGUUAAUAACUCCCCCUGCACAUGUACAGUUUCAUGUCUCUUGCUACUGCACUGGUGAAACUGAUGGAGCCUUCUUCCCUCAUGUCCUUUCACACGUUGAUAGGACCUGGCUGAGUGUAAUUAUAAUGUGAUGUUAUUCUGAAUUGUGUGCUACAUUCACAUUUGGGAUUUUCAUUUUUUAUUUCCAGAAUGGUUUUACACGUGGAAAAUGGAAUCCCAUUUUGCUGUCAGCCUACAACCACUCUUUUUUUUGUUUUAGUCUACAACCACUCUUAAUCCUAAAUGGGUCUUGUAGGGUAGGACUUAGAAGGCCUUUUUGUUUGUUUCUGCAAUAUUUUCUACCCUAUGGACUGUGAGUAUUGGUUACAUUAAUUAAAUGACAAGUGCUCACCGUAGAGUGCUGGCUUUUUGUCCACUGGCAUAAAUUAAAAGGAAGGAACGGUCAUGUCAACAGGAUUUUUCUCGAAGGUGGUUGCCAUGGAUGAUUUUUGAAGGCAAGAUGUGAAAGUGAUGGCUUGAAGUGGGAGAUUGAAGUCUCUCUUUUAUUUAUUUUAUUUUAGUUUUAGUUUUUUAUUAUACUUUAAAUUCUAGUAUCUACAUAUGCAGAUUGUGUAGGUUUGUUAUAUAGGUAUACAUGUGUCGUGGUGAUUCUCUGCAUCCAUCGCCACAUCAUCUACUUUAGGUAUUUCUUCAAAUGCUAUCCCUCUCCAAUCCUCCCACCCCCUGCUAUUCCUCCCCUAGCCUCCCAUUCCCCAGGCCCUGGUGUGUGAUGUUCCCCUCCCUGUGUCCAUGUAUUCUCAUUGUUCAACACCCACUUAUGAGUGAGAUCAUGUGUUUGGUUUUCUGUUGUUGUGUAGUUUGCUGAGAAUGAUGGUUUCCAGUUUCAUCCAUGUCCCUGCAAAGGACAUGAACUUUUAUUUUUUAUGGCUGCAGAGUAUUCCAUGGUGUAUAUAUGCCACAUUGUCUUUAUCCAGUCUAUCAUCGAUGGACAUUUGGGUUGGUUCCAAGUCUUUGCUAUUGUGAACAGUGCCACAAUAAACAUAUGUGUGCAGGUGUUUUUAUAAUAGAAUGAUCUAUAAUCCUUUGGGUUUAUACUCAGAAAUGGGAUUGCUAGAUCAAAUGGUAUUUCUAUUUCUAGAUGUUUGAGGAAUUGCCACGCUGUCUUCCACAGUGGUUGAACUAAUUUACACUCCCACCAACAGUGUAAAAGUGUUUCCAUUUCUCCACAUCCUCUCCAGCAUCUGUUGUCUCCUGAUUUUUUAAUGAUCACCAUUCUACCUGGUGUGAGGUGUUAUCUCAAUGUGGUUUUGAUUUGCAUUUCUUUAAUGACCAGUGAUGAGCAUUUUUUCAUAUAUUUGUUGGCUGCACAGAUGUCUUCUUUUGACAUGUGUCUGUUCAUAUUAUUUGCCCACUUUUUGAUGUUUUCUUUUUCUUGUAAAUUUGUUUAAGUUUUUUUGUAGAUUUUGGAUAUUAGCUCCUUGUCAGAUGGGUAGAUGGCAAAAACUUUUCCCCAUUCUGUUGGCUUCUGGUUCACUCUAUUGCUAGUUUCUUUUGCUAUGCAUAAGUUCUUAAGUUUAAUUAGAUCCCAUUUGUUUAUUGAGGCUUUUGUUGCCAUUACUUUUGGUGUUUCAGUCAUGAAGUCCUUACCCAUGCCUAUGUCCUUUAAGGUGUUGCCUAGGUUUUCUUCUAGAGUUUUUAUGGUGUUAGGCCUCAUGUUUAAAUAUUUAAUCUAUCUAGAAUGAAUUUUUGUAUAAGGUGUAAGAAAGGAAUCCAGUUUCAGCUUUCUGUGUAUGGCUAGCCAGUUUCCCCAAUGCCAUUUAUUAAAUAGGGGAUCCUUUCCCCAUUGCUUGUUUUGUCAGGUUGGUCAUAGAUCAGAUGGUUGUAGUUGUGUGGUGUUCUUUCUGUUCUGUUCCAUUUGUCUAUAUCUCUGCUUAUUUGCAGGCUUAGUCAUUGUUCUGCCGGGAAAUAAACCAGAGCUCUGUCUUUCAAAUAUUUCUUUUUUUCAUGGGUUUCAAUGACUGGGAGUGUUAGUGGUGCUAAAAAUCCAAGGAUUGAAGGGGCCAUUCAUUAUCUUCAGCCUCAGUGAGUUCACUGAGUCCAUUUACCACCCUUCAGUGUUGAUGGGGAAAAACAAUGUUCUCCCCCCACCAGAAAAAUGAGAAUGGACUUUUCACAUCCUAUCAGACCUUUGCCAAUAUUUUUGUUUGUUUGUUUGUUUUCAGAUGGACUCUCGCCCUUGUCACCCAGGCUGGAGUGCAGUGGUGUGAUCUGGGCUCUCUGCAAUCUCUGCUUCCCAGGUUCAAGCAAUUCUCCUGCCUCAGUGCCUGAGUGGUUGUGAUUACAGGGACCCAGCACCAUGCCUGGCUAAUUUUUUUAGUUUUAGUAGAGAUGAGGUUUCACCAUGUUAUCCAGGCUGGUCUCUAACUCCUGACCUCAAGCGAUCAGCCUGGCUUGGCUUUCCAAAUGCUGGGAUUACAGGCAUGUACCUGGCCAACAAUAUUUGUAAGAAAACAAUUCUGCACUUUGCAGAGACAGUCUGGAAUGUAAUUUCAACUCCAAUACAAACCAAACCAUCCUUUAAACGUAGCCAUGUAAUUCCUUAAUCUGGAGAAACUGUCUAUCUGGAUGUGACUAUCUUAUACAUUCACAUUCUCCUCAGUUUUGUCUCUGACAGUGUUUUUAACCUAUUAAGCAAGUAAGUAGUUAUCAAGUAAAAUUUUCCUUUGGUUUUUUUUUUUUUGUACUGAAUUAAAACAAAUAAUUGGGUUGUUAAAGGAAUAGAGAAUAGUAAUGAAUACCUGUCCACUAAAGAAUAUAUCUUGUACUAUGUAUAUUUUCUCAUCUCUUACCUAUAUCACACCAUAAUGAGGUUUAGAGCACUAAGGUUUAAAAGAUUCACCACAAGUCACUUUUUGAACUCUCUAUUCUCUCAAAUAUUAUCUUUGAUGUAGUCCUAGAGUGACAGCUUUUGAUCCCAUCGGGGUUAACCAUGGUACCUGCGAGUCACAUUUUCAGGGAGUAGAAAAUGAAUUCUGACUUCAUCACAUCCCUUUUGAACAAGUACAGGCUUGCUAACAUUUAGCAUAAGAUAAAAGACACUGUUCCUUUUAAUUAUUGUUUCCGAAAUACCACAAAGGCAAUUGUAAGAUAGGCAAUAUUGCCUUAAAUUGCCUCUCAUGUGAUUUUCAUGGAUUUUGAACAUUUUCUAAAGAAGACUUUAUCUGGGGAAAGAAAUCCAGCCUUGUUUUGAGAUACUAACCCACACAGGCUGCCAGGUAAAAUAUAGCACAAGCAGGUAAACUUGAAUUUCAGAUUUGUAUAUAAUGUGGGGGACAUACACUCAAAUAUUACUCUGGCAGCUCUACACUGGGGGCAUUGUGAAGAGGGCAGUGGAUAAAACCAGGGCCCUGGAGGCUAUCAGAGGAGAAGGUGAGAUUCAUCAGCUUUCUCUGAGGGCCCCUAGGGCAGGACCCAUCAGGAGCCUUAUGGUCUGAGGGUCAGUCUGCACUGUCCCUGUUUAAAUGUUUUAUUAAAAUGCAGCCACACCCAUCUGCUGAUGGACUGUUCACUGCUGCUUCCACACCUCUAUGGCAGAGUUCACAGUGUAGCCUACAGGGCCUGAAUACUUACUAAGUUGACCUUUACAGAAAACAUUUACCAACUUCUGGCUUCGAACAAGGUCUUGAAAUGACAAUUGAUGUCCUAGAUCCUUGCUAAUUCCCAUCUAUGAAGCCAUGCCUCUUUCCAUAGGCAUGUGCAUAUUAUAAAGCUGAAAACAUUGUGAUAUUAAAUCAGUAAUAUGUCACACAAUUAAUACAAUAAUGCUACUUAAAACAAUUAAAGUUAUUUUGAAAAUAUUUCAAAUGUUAGCAUUUGUGUUUCAGAAUUUAGAAUAGCCUUGUGGCGAGCUUCUGUUUGUCAAUACGAGGGAGCAGAUCAAGCAGUUGUUUAAUUUUCAUUUGGAUAACUAUGGUUUUAGAAGAAUGAGGAUAUUGUAGAAUUAAUCUCCAAUGAGUAGAAAGAAAGCUGGGUUUGCAAACUCUAUAAUGUGCCAUCUAGGAGCUGGAAGUAAGCAUUUGGUUGAAAGGCAGUCUUUUAUUCUGAGGGAAAUCAACAUGUUCCUGGGGCCCUGUCUUGACCCCUUUUGGUGAUGGUAAGGCAGCUACGAGAGACAGGUCUCUGCUGUGAGGUCAUCUCAUGUGGCCGAGGCAAGAUGUUGGCAGAAGCAAGAUAAAUUUCACUCAGAAGCUCACCGGUUUCAAAAUACAGUCUGCAAAUAAAAAAUAAAGAGAAGACAAUUUUUCUUACAACCUAUCUAUAAAAUGUAUGUGUUUAUUUUGCACAGUAUAGAGCAUCAAAAGAGGUGAAAGACUUAGUGCUAUCAUAACUGGCAGGACAUUCAGCUGCCAGAACUCUACAGCUCAGCUGCUAUUGACUAAC